AACGAACGCUGGCGGCAGGCCUAACACAUGCAAGUCGAGCGAGGACUUCGGUUCUAGCGGCGGACGGGUGAGUAACGGGUGGGAAUGUGCCCUUCUCUACGGAAUAGCUCUGGGAAACUGGGAGUAAUACCGAAUACGCGCUAUUGGGGAAAGAUUUAUCGGAGAAGGAUCAGCCCGCGUUGGAUUAGGUAGUUGGUGAGGUAAUGGCCUACCAAGCCGACGAUCCAUAGCUGGUUUGAGAGGAGGAUCAGCCACACGGGGACUGAGACACGGCCCAGACUCCGACGGGAGGCAGCAGUGGGGAAUCUUACGCAAUGGGCGAAAGCGUGAUCGAGCAAAGCCGCGUGAGUGAUGAAGGUGUUCGGCUGGGAAAGCGCUGUUGGCCGGAAAGAAGUGAAGCUGUUUCAGCUGGGAAGAUAAUGACGGUACCAGAAGAAGAAGCCCCGGCUAACUACGUG
rnacentral:rRNA from 1 species